AACGAACGCUGGCGGCGUGGAUAAGACAUGCAAGUCGAACGGGAUAGUUUUGUAGCAAUACCGAACUGUUCAGUGGCGAACGGGUGCGUAACACGUGGAUUACAUACCGGAAAGCGAGGAAUAGCCCAGGGAAACUUGGAUUAAUACCUCAUGUGGUCGCAAGACUAAAGGCGGGGCAACCUGUCGCUUUCUGAUUGGUCCGCGGCCUAUCAGCUAGUUGGCGGGGUAACGGCCCACCAAGGCGACGACGGGUAGCUGGUCUGAGAGGAUGACCAGCCACACUGGAACUGAGACACGGUCCAGACACCUACGGGUGGCAGCAGUCGAGAAUCAUUCACAAUGGGGGCAACCCUGAUGGUGCGACGCCGCGUGGAGGAUAAGGUCUUCGGAUUGUAAACUCCUGUCAUGCGAGAGCAAGAUUUGAGCGGGUAACUCCGCUGAAUUUGAUAGUAUCGCAAGAGGAAGAGACGGCUAACUCUGUGCCAGCAGCCGCUGUAAAAC
rnacentral:rRNA from 1 species